rnacentral:rRNA from 1 species
GAACGUCCUUUUGCUUUUUUUGAGCGAGAGGGAGUGGCGGACGGGUGAGUAACACAUGGGUGACCUACCCCCACGUGAGGAAUACCGGCGAGAAAUCGCCGACAAGACCGCAUAGGCUUUCUUUGGUGGGGCGAAGAGAGCAAAGGUUCUCGCAAGGGAGCCGCGUGGGGAGGGGCCUGUGGCCGAUUAGCUAGUUGGGGGGGUAAGAGCCUCCCAAGGCGACGAUCGGUAGCUGGUCUGAGAGGACGAACAGCCACACUGGGAUUGAGAACGGCCCAGACUCCUACGGGGGGCAGCAGUGAGGAAUUUUCCGCAAUGGGCGCAAGCCUGACGGAGCAACGCCGCGUGCAGGAGGACGCUUUUCGGAGUGUAAACUGCUUUUCUGUGGGACGAGGAUGGACGGUACCACAGGAAGAAGCCCCGGCUAACUACGUG